CGUGCCAGCAGCCGCGGUAAUACGUAGGUGGCAAGCGUUAUCCGGAUUUAUUGGGCGUAAAGAGAGUGCAGGCGGUUUUCUAAGUCUGAUGUGAAAGCCUUCGGCUUAACCGGAGAAGUGCAUCGGAAACUGGAUAACUUGAGUGCAGAAGAGGGUAGUGGAACUCCAUGUGUAGCGGUGGAAUGCGUAGAUAUAUGGAAGAACACCAGUGGCGAAGGCGGCUACCUGGUCUGCAACUGACGCUGAGACUCGAAAGCAUGGGUAGCGAACAGGAUUAGAUACCCUGGUAGUCCAUGCCGUAAACGAUGAGUGCUAGGUGUUGGAGGGUUUCCGCCCUUCAGUGCCGGAGCUAACGCAUUAAGCACUCCGCCUGGGGAGUACGACCGCAAGGUUGAAACUCAAAGGAAUUGACGGGGGCCCGCACAAGCGGUGGAGCAUGUGGUUUAAUUCGAAGCUACGCGAAGAACCUUACCAGGUCUUGACAUCUUGCGCCAACCCUAGAGAUAGGGCGUUUCCUUCGGGAACGCAAUGACAGGUGGUGCAUGGUCGUCGUCAGCUCGUGUCGUGAGAUGUUGGGUUAAGUCCCGCAACGAGCGCAACCCUUGUUACUAGUUGCCAGCAUUAAGUUGGGCACUCUAGUGAGACUGCCGGUGACAAACCGGAGGAAGGUGGGGACGACGUCAGAUCAUCAUGCCCCUUAUGACCUGGGCUACACACGUGCUACAAUGGACGGUACAACGAGUCGCGAACUCGCGAGGGCAAGCAAAUCUCUUAAAACCGUUCUCAGUUCGGACUGCAGGCUGCAACUCGCCUGCACGAAGUCGGAAUCGCUAGUAAUCGCGGAUCAGCAUGCCGCGGUGAAUACGUUCCCGGGCCUUGUACACACCGCCCGUCACACCAUGAGAGUUUGUAACACCCAAAGUCGGUGGGGUAACCUUUUAGG
rnacentral:rRNA from 2 species